UACGUAGGGGGCAAGCAUUGUCCGGAUUUACUGGGCGUAAAGAGCGUGUAGGCGGCCAAACAGGUCCGUUGUGAAAACUGGAGGCUCAACUUCCAGACGUCGACGGAAACCGUGUGGCUAGAGUCCGGAAGAGGAGAGUGGAAUUCCUGGUGUAGCGGUGAAAUGCGCAGAUAUCAGGAAGAACACCAAUGGCGAAGGCAGCUCUCUGGGACGGUACUGACGCUGAGACGCGAAAGCGUGGGGAGCGAACAGG
rnacentral:rRNA from 1 species